GUCUACGGCCAUACCAUCCUGAACACGCCCGAUCUCGUCUGAUCUCGGAAGAAAGAAAGGGAUGGACACUACUUAAUUCCCAUUGGAUUAGUCA
rnacentral:rRNA from 1 species